GGGGAUAGCAGGAAGGAGGCGUCUCCCAAGGGGCUGGGAGGAGAAAGAAACACAUACAGCCUGAAGGGAGCGGAGCUUGUCUUUGUGAGUGAAAACGUUUCUGUCUUCGGUGUGCAAAUGGAGAUGCUGCUGUUGGAGUUUAGCCCACGGGAGUGUCAUACAGCUGCAAAGGAGAGGAUGGACUCAAAGCAUCACUGCGCAGUGCGACUGCUGAGCCCGUGGGGUGAAAGCAUGCUGGAUUGGAGAUGCUGGAAGAAAGCACAAGCAGUCCUUCAAGAUGAGGUAGGAGGGAUGGCAGUAACAGAAGAGCACAGCUGAAUCUCAAGAUCUCAAGCAAAGACAGCAGGAGUCUGAGCAUUUAAAUAUGCCUUCGCCAUGCUGGAGCAUUCCAAGCAGUGUGUUCUUCAAGUUUGGAAAGGCCAUGUAAGAUUUCAGUGCAUCGGCUCAGCCUGGAGGACAAGAGGACACAGACCUCAGAGCAAGGAGGGCCCUUACCCAUCAGUGACUGCUCCAUGGAUGGUGGCACGGAGCGCAGUGGAGACAACAUCUACAACUGGAAGAGCUCACAGCGCCACUGUGUUAAAGAACAAAGAGAGCCAUGAGUGUUCCCAGGCAGCAGCCGGAGCGCAGGUAAGUGUGGAGCAGCCAGCAGGGAUGCAAGCAUGCUCAGCAAAAGAGGACAAGCCUGAAAGUAAGUCUGAAAUCCUUUGGGAAUUUUCCUCACCUCUUCAGAAAUAUGAUCAACGUUUGCCACUCUUCUGAGGCUCUAGUUCAACAUUAUUACUGCACAUCACUCACCUGUACAAGGACAAAUGGGUCUCUCCAUGGAGAACAGGUUCCCAGGUGCUGUGCUGUAGCCUGGAUGCUGAGCUCAGUGGGGCACUGCUGAUUUCCACCUUUUUCCAGCACUUUUUAAACAGCGUGUCUCCAGUAGAACACCUCCCAGGGUAUUUUCACAUGGAAACACCCCUUUCCCAGCGAACUGUCAGGGGGUAACAUGAAUUAUUUUAAUGGCCGCAUCACUUCAGCCAAAGCCUCCACCAUCUGCUAUACAUUCUAAUUACAAAUGCAGAAACCAUAAUUAGCAAUCAAAUCACAUUCAAAAAAAAAAAAAAAAGAAAGAAAAUGAGCAAUUAAAAUGCACAUUCUGCCAGGCAAAUCCACCUCCUCAGCCAGUGCAUCCACCACAUCACUUGCCUGUUACAGACGGGCUGAAUUAGUCCCAGGCCAUUGGAGACUUCAGUCCUGCUGGUUUCCCUGACAGCAGCUUCCAGGCUUGAUCUUCUCAUCUUCCAGGGAUGCUCUGCAGCUCCAGCCUGCUGUUGUAUGUGUUGGUGUCUUGCUAACGCUCGGGGUGAUUUUUUUUUUUUGAGGGAUCAGUUUACUUUUCCAAUGUCUAGACGUACCUUGUUGUUCCCUGCGCCCUGCCUCUUCUGGGGUUCUCACAGCUUAUGUGUCAAGAAAAGCUUGAGUGUUUCAGAGCAAUAUGCAGGGAUUGAUGGUGACACAUUUGCAAGAAAACACCCCAGGCUGAAUUCAUCUUCAGUGCAGCGCUGCUGCACUUAGCAACCUCAUCAUCCUCUCUGUAACAUUCAUUUUGAAAUGUGCAUUAACAUUCAAGCGUCGUUUAUACUCUGUAAGUAAUCCAACCCUACAGAGGGCUUUUCUCACAUGUUCAAAACUCCAAAGUCUCCUGGAAACACAGCCAUUAGGAAGGGCUGGAGCCUGGAGGGAUAUAUGAAGAGGGAGGCUUUGCUGGGAGCUGGGGAAGCCUGUGGCUGCUGUGCUUUGUCCCAUGAGAUGGAGGACAGACAGCUCCGCCCGACAGACGCCAAUGCUUUUAGGCAGCCCAAGAGCACAUCGUGUCCAGCCCUGGGAAUCAGGGUCAGCAGCCUGCAGUGGCUCAGAGCAGAGGGAGGAAACUUUGCUUGGCUAAUUCAAAGGAAAACUUUGCUCGAGGGAUUCAAAGCUCUGCCUCUGAAGCGACUGCAGCCCUUUUUCCUAUGGCACACUCCCACUCCUGUGUGGGUGGAGAAAAACUCCUCUGAGGCAGCACUGCAGUCUCCUUCUGAUCUUCCUGCCUGCCUGGCCCUGCUCAGAGCCAUUAAAGUCUCUCUUUUUGGCAAUAGCAGGUUCCAUGUGGAGCUCAGGGGACACACAGCGGGCAGUUCCCACUGUCCCCUGCCCACAGCCGUGCUGUACGGCGCAGCUAGUGUGCCGGGCAGCACUGAGGGCCUUACGUAUGUACAGCUGACUCCUAUUGCAUCUUUUUGUCUUGAAAGUAUAUAUCAUCUUACCACAGGUUAAGAGCUCACAGCUAAACCUGACCCUACUGCUCAGUGUCGGCACUCAGAGGCAAACACACAAAAGCUAAUUUUCACAUCUGCUGCUUCAGCUGUAAAUCAUUUCUCAUUUUCCCUCUAAAAGGCUGCUCAGGUAAUUCUCCCCCAGCUGCCUCUCAGCGCUGCUCCCUGAGAUCCUCAUUGGCAAGGAGAGCACAAGGCACCCAGACCUCGGAAAUGUUUCAAGGCUUCACACCGGUUUUACGCUAUCUUGCAGCGAAGCGGCAGAUGGGAUUCUGGACUGAUCAAUAUCCUAAGUAGAGCCAAGUGCCGGAUCACUGAUCUGAGCUGAAAGAAUAAAUGGUGAAUCAAAGGAAUACACAAGUACCAUCAGUUCUGGGAGGCAGUUCUCUCCCUGCACCAGCCCAGCUGCUGUGCCUAAGGAGCAACCCCCGUCCUGCUCACAGUUCGGGGAUUAUAAAAGCCAAACAAAGGACAUGCAACAAGUUAUAAAUUCAGAGGAGUUCUUCCUGAGUGCCCAACAGCAGCUGAACUGUAGUUACGGUUAUUAUGCAGAGACAGACAUAAAACUAUAAUGCGGAUCAGCAUGUUUUAUCGCAGUCAUUUGACAACAUGCCAAGUCCAUGCAGCUUAGCUGUUACCUUUCUACAGCUCGCAGGGAUUUACCAUAGUUUCAGCUUAAUCUGGGAUUUUAUUAUGUAGUUAUUUCAAUCUCACUUUGAUAAUGGCACUCCAAACGGUGAUAAAACAAAGGAAGAUCGUAUUUAGAUACAGCAGUGAUGAAUAAUGUUAGAAACACCUAAAGCAGAAACGGAAUGCAUCUAUCUGUUCUGUUUUGCUGUACUCAGUGGAAAACAUCGAGAGAGCCUUUAUGAAGCAUUCUAUGAGUGAUAAAGACAUAGCUCCUACUGGUGGCUGAGAUGAGUGCUUAAUUGGAUGUUCCCUGUCCUCAUUACUUAUCCAUGUGAGCAUUUCUCACCCAUCACUGGUCUGAAAGCCAGCAGAGGCCAUGAGACCACUUUUUCUGAGCCCAUGACUCAGACCAGGCACUAAUCUGGCUAUGCAAAGUCCUCCACACAUUUUGCCCAGGUACAGUGCUUGUUCCAGCAAGACAAACCUCCUGCAUCAGGAGCUCCUACUCCCUUAUUUUAUCCUGAACAGAAUCUGGGAUUCUUACCUGAGACCAAACCUCAGUGCUCCCUGCAUCACCGUGGUGGGACGUGAGGCUGAUGCUCGGAACACACCACUUUUCUCUCUGAUCCUGUCGUUUAGAUUCAAACAGGAGUUAUUUAAUCUGUUCUUCUCCAUGACCAUGCAAUGCUGCUGGUUCGAAAAGCAGAUUUUUCUACAGCCUUGUAACAAGGAGAUAAGAGACUGGCAGCGGAUAAAACUACUUAAUAGCAAUUGUCUGCUGCCACGACUGCACAGAGCACGAAGGGCAGCAGCUCCACUGAAACAAGAGAUGAGCACAGGGUGCAGGCAGGAGCCAGCCCUGCAGCUGCUCUCUGGGAUGGUGGUACUGCAGGGAGAGCCGUGCAGGAGGCUCCAAGCAGAGCAGCCACGCUGACUGCUGAGAAUCAGUUCAUCCUCUUCCCCAGCACGUCUUGCUCUCUGCAGGUUACACCAGUAACAGACUGCCAGGGCCACAGCCUCAGGCAUAAGUUACCAAUGACAGCAGCACCCCCAAGAAGGGGGACCUGGAGCUGCAGCCUCCCACUCUUUGGCACAGAAAUUGGAGAGGAUUUUUGCUGGGCAAACGAUCCCUGCUGUAUGAAAAUGCAACAUUUAUUUCAAAAGCAUGAAAUAAAGAGUUUUACUUAAAAUCAAGCCAUAAAUCUGUGGGCAUGCUGCAAGAGAAUGAAAGCUCUUAUCAAUAUUUAUACUUACCUCCUCAAAGAACACAGGAGCUCAUUUACUAAAUAUCUUUGAGAAAUCAAGCCUUCAGCCAGACACAGGCCAGAGGAGGCAUUUUUGCCAGGCAGGAUGCUUCAGGAAUCAUCUUAACAAGGAAAAGCUCCACAGGAGAGCACCGUUCUCAAAGCUGCCCACUACUGCUUCACACAUGAUGCACCAAGUGCAGGACACCAGGCCUGGGAGAGGAUGCACCAGCAGGGGAUCUGUCUGCAGAUCCACUCCAGCUCCUGUUGGCUUCAGUGAGGCUUGGAGCCACCCCAUGGAAAUGUCAGAUAUCAUUAAUACAUCAAACACAACAUCAAUAUACACUGGCCCUUGGAUACAGCCAAACACAGCUAAUGGAAGCCACUCCAUAAGGCUCUAUGGUGCAUAAUCAGCAGCCAUCCCCAUGGCCUGCCCACAACCCCACAGGGCUGGCAGUUGGGUCACGUACUGCAUCAACAGGUAGAGACCUGGCUCUCCAUCUCUUCUAGAUCAUGAGACCGAAGGCCUUCCAGGUGGGAGCUGCAGUUUUCAUCAUCAAGUCUGUUUCCAGCACAGCAGCACAUGGCAUCUCCUGUGUCCUGCUGCAAUAAUUGAAAGUUAAAUUGAAAAUAAUUGCAAACGUAAAUCCUCCCUCUCCCAAUCUGCAGGAAAUUGAUACAGGCGAAAGGCAGGUGAUGAUUCAUUCACUUGCUAUCUCAGAGCCCAACGCUCCUUCCCCCAGAGCAGCACAGAACACACUUUGCCACCCACCUGAACACUGAUAAAAGUUGAAUACAACUACCUGUGAUUGAUGCCUCUCCUCACAUGUACACUCCAACCACAACCUGGAUAAUGUGUAGCGUUAUUAAAGCAUCAAUUAUCUUCAGCACAAGUGGAGCUACAUUAGCAGGGCUGCAUUCUGUUCAUUUUGAUAAGGCUUUCUCUGUUCGUUUAUCAACAAAAUGGGGACACCAGCAGGGCAGGGAUCCUGCAGGGUUUAACUCUGCUAGGAUGGAGCUGACACUCACAUCCUCCGUAAGUGCACUGUCAACAACAGCACCCUGAUUGAGAGGGUUUAUUUCUCAGGAAUUUGGCACAGCAGCCUGUGGAGAGCCCGUGUUCAUCCCUGACAGAUGUUCCAGCUAUACGGAUGGGCUGAGUUCACUGGGUCGCAGUGUGAUGCCUGACCAAUAGCUCCAGAUCCCCAGGCAGAAGGGCCAGAGACACCAGGCUGAGCAGCUGGUGUUCCCACACAGCUCAGGUUCUGCUCCUCUCUUGUGCAUGCAGGACGGUGGCUUAGAAACCACAGGGAAGCAAGGCAGCUACCUCUGAAGCCGUGCACAAACCGCAUCACCGUUCACCAGCUCUGAAGAGAAGCUUCCCUCUGUUGUUUCUCCCUUCUGGCUCUAAGAGUUGUGGUUCUCUCCAAGCCCAGGGAUAAGGCUACAAAACUACAGAAAAGCAGUUCCUUUUAGUUACAGACCUAAAAGUUCCUUCAUAAACUACACCCAGAUAGACACGGCUUAUUAAUAGCAGUAAAUCCACAAGUCCAGUAGACUUCUGUUAAUGGUUAUUGAUUGUAGUAGUGCUGGAGAAGGCUGGUGUCAGUCAAACUGAUGUCCAGUAGUCCUCCUUUGUCUGAGCAGGGCUGUCAAUUACACAAGAGCUCAUCUGUUUUUCAAAACCAGGCAGCAGAAAGGUGGUCACAGCUGCACUGCAGGGCUAGGAGACCCCCUUAAUGCUGAUAGCAGCUGUCAUCAAGGCCAAGCACUCCUUACUGGUUGGCUUGACCUGUGGGUCCAGGCCUCUUGAAGCUAAACCAAGGCUUAUCACAGCUUACUGUCCAGUCACUGUACACUGAGAGGAGCAGCAGCCACUAACCCUCCAGCUCACCCAGAGAUCCACAGAGCAGAGGACUCCCAUUUGGCUAAGAAGACAGGCAGGGAUUCCUGUUGGACACUUCCAAAUACCAGAGAUGUCCAAAUGUGUGGUGUGAAAUGCUAUCUUACAGGCAGAUCUGAUUUCUUAGGAGGCCAUUGCCAGACUACAGCCGAGCCUUCUUAUGUCCCCAUGCUGGAAGAGGACAGCCAUGAGCACUGACUGCCCCGAGCAGACAGCCCUGCAUUCAGAGCAAGCCUGCACUCGAGCUGCAUUUGCACUUCUCCAUCUGUUUACAGUCACUUCCUUCUAUCCCCCAGUGAAUAUCUUAAAAAAUCUAAGCUGCUUAACGCAAACACCAUGGGCACCUGGACCUCAAACUCACAUGAUAGAUCUCAUCAUGCUCUUGGUGAGCGGUGUGACUUCUUACCUUUGAGCUAGGAUGACAUUAAAGAGCUUUUAAAUGAAUGAAAGCUCAGAGGAGUAAACCAAGGACAGUCCACUGCAAACUGGAGACCUUUUCACUGUCCUCUGGUGGGGGAAUAAGGCAGUAAGAGGUCAGGGAGGCAGACGACGUCAGUACUUUCAUAAAACCACCCUUUCUGCUCACUGAAAUAACAACAAAAACAAAACACAGCAGCUCUGUCUCCCUUCCUACAUCUGAUAACAAUCAAAUAAUAACGGGAGUGACUUAUGCGCUCUCUGCCUGGUACUUCAAUCUGGCCUCCCAGUUAAUACACGCUAUGAUUAAAGCAUCUAUAAUCUGCAGUCCGUGGAGACCUGUAGAGCGCAGCAGCAGCGGCUGUGCAGCCUGAUAAGGGUUGUUCACUCUGUGCAGAUGAAACUUUCAAUAUUUAUAACUGCUGAUUUAUUUUAUCCCAGUAGCUCCUAUU